AGGAUGAACGCUGGCGGCGUGCCUAAUACAUGCAAGUCGAGCGGUAAGGCCUCUUCGGAGGUACACGAGCGGCGGACGGCUGAGUAACACGUAGGAACGUACCCCAAAGUGAGGCAUAAGCACCAGAAAUGGUGUCUAAUACCGCAUGUGCUCUAAGGAGUAAAGCUUCGGCGCUUUGGGAACGGCCUGCGCAUGAUUAGCUUGUUGGUGAGGUAAUAGCUCACCAAGGCGACGAUCAUUAGCUGGUCUGAGAGGAUGACCAGCCAGACUGGGACUGAGAACGGCCCAGACUCCUACGGGAGGCAGCAGUAGGGAAUUUUCCACAAUGGGCGAAAGCCUGAUGGAGCAACGCCGCGUGCAGGAUGAAGGCCUUCGGGUUGUAAACUGCUUUUAUAUGUGACGAAUAUGACGGUAGCAUAUGAAUAAGGAUCGGCUAACGUCCGUGCCAGCAGCCGCGGU
rnacentral:rRNA from 1 species